rnacentral:rRNA from 1 species
ACGCGUAGAAUCUACCAAAAGGACUGGGACAACCACUGGAAACGGUGGCUAAUACCGGAUGAGCCGAAAAGUAAAAAGGGAAACCUGCCUUUUGAAGAGCUCGCGUCUGAUUAGCUAGUUGGUGAGGUAAGAGCUCACCAAGGCAGCGAUCAGUAGCUGGUCUGAGAGGAUGACCAGCCACACUGGGACUGAGACACGGCCCAGACUCCUACGGGAGGCAGCAGUGGGGAAUUUUCCGCAAUGGGCGAAAGCCUGACGGAGCAAGACCGCGUGAGGGAAGAAGGCUCUUGGGUCGUAAACCUCUUUUAUCAGGGAAGAAAAAAAUGACGGUACCUGAAGAAUCAGCCUCGGCUAACUCCGUGCCAGCAGCCGCGGUAAUACGGAGGAGGCAAGCGUUAUCCGGAAUUAUUGGGCGUAAAGCGUCCGCAGGUGGCUUAUCAAGUCUGCUGUCAAAGAGUGGGGCUUAACCCCAUAAAGGCAGUGGAAACUGGCAAGCUAGAGUGCCGUAGGGGUAGAGGGAAUUCCCGGUGUAGCGGUGAAAUGCGUAGAGAUCGGGAAGAACAUCGGUGGCGAAAGCGCUCUACUGGACGGCAACUGACACUCAGGGACGAAAGCUAGGGGAGCGAAAGGGAUUAGAUACCCC